GAAAUGCGAUAAGUAAUGUGAAUUGCAGAAUUCAGUGAAUCAUCGAAUCUUUGAACGCACAUUGCGCCCCCUGGCACUCCUGGGGGCACGCCUGUCCGAGCGUCAUGCUGGUCUUCGGGCUUCGGGCCUGGUCCUGGGGCGCUUCGCGCCGUGGGGUCCCCGUGGCCCCCCGAGCGCGGCCCCCAAAUCCAGCGGUGGCCGACCCCCCGGCGCGAGCGAUCGAGGCCCUGUCCCCGCCGCGCCGGCGACCGUCGCCUGCCCCAACGAGACCCCCGGGGAUGGUCCCCCGUGGGGUGGCUUCUGCGCCUUGACCUCGGAUCAGGCGGGGCUACCCGCUGAACUUAAGC
rnacentral:misc_RNA from 1 species